rnacentral:lncRNA from 10 species
ACCCUCGAUGACAUCCUGGGGGUGAGAAGUCCGGUCACUGGGUGGAUCCAGUGCAACAGUUGCCAGCGAAGUGGUGGCCCCAGACAUCUCACUCAUAGGCUCACUCCGGCUUGUUUCAGGCACGCUUUCCCGGGAGCUAAAUCUUACUCGGGAACUAGAUCGAGAGCUGAGGUCCGGACUGGUGUCUGACAAACCUGGAAUGUCAUCGAUCUUUGUCGGUGUCACCAUGAACCGAACUGAAGCCAUCUUGGUGGUGGUUUCUGGAGGAUGCAUUUUGUUCUUUUUAAGAACAAAAAAAGUGGGGGGAACCUCGCAAAAUCUUCCUCUUACGCUAGCUACUUUUGACUGCAAUACAAAAGAUAACUUGAAAAAUAACACAUUUCAAUAACCUUGAUUCACACCACACAAAAAGCCCCAACUAAGAAUACUUCUACUCAGAAUUCAAGCCGACUGUCCUAGAAAGUGCAUCACCAAUAGGUGAAUAUAUUUUUUAAGAGAGAAAAAAACAAAAAACAAAAAGACAAAACAAUGCCAAUCUUGUGUGACUUCUUUCCUUCAGAAUGAAGAGCUACCUAGCUAACCCCUCUGGUCCGGGGCUGAAGGCUCAGUGCCAUGGUCUCAGGGCAGCAGAUGAAGCCUCCCUCCCCUCAGCCCCCAGUUUCCUGUCGAGGUAGUCCUUUAUCUGGUGAGUGUCCCACGGUUCUAGUUGGGCGAAGUGCGUGCAGGCAAACCUUUAUCAGGCGACUAUAGCGUGGAUCAGAUUGCUAAAAGGUGUACACCCGGCCACCUGUUGUGUAUCAGGUGAAUACCCCACAGGUCUGGCUGGGGGGAGGUGUAUGCAAAGCCACCCGGUGUUUUUGAUGUCGACAAUCCACUUGGGUCUGGUGGGAAAGGUGCACAUGCAUAACGGGAAAAAUAACCCACACUACUGAGAGAAGGGUGAGCAGAGGAGGAUGCAGGGGCAGAGCGGAUUCCUGUCUCCGAGAGGUCGGUGGGGGUGGCGCGCCCGCUCUUCUCCUAGCAGAAAGGUCCUCGGGGUCUGGGAGGAGGUUAGCGGAUCAAGACACCUCGGACUGCAGCUCAGAGUCGUGGCAAGUCGUAGCUAGUCCACUGAGCCACGGUCCGCUCGCUAGGUUUCUCCUGCGUGUGACAGGACGAGCCACCCCCUUUGCCGGAGGCGCGUUCUCCCCUACCCCCGCCCCGGCGCAGGUCACCCCCUCGUCGUUCUUCCUCAGGGUCCCAGUAGAGGAGGAGACGGCCACGCAGGCUGGCCUGACUGGGCAGCAGGGUGAGGGAGAAGGAGGUCGCAGGUGCAGUAUCCCGGCGCCAGCUGAUGCGGGUGCGCGCGCAGCUGUUGUUUACUAGCCGGUAACUGUUUCAGAGCCGCGGCGCGCGCAGGGUUCGCGCUGCCGGGGCUGGCGCCCCCUCCCCGGCCCGACGCCAGAGCAGCAGUUACGUGACCUGGCCUCCCCCAGCCCCGGGCCCGACGGGGUGCGCCCGCGCCGCCGCAGCCCUUCCCUUCCCUCCCCGCUUGUUCCUCAUUCGAGCAACCCACAACUAUCCUGAACUUUUCUGCUGGGAUGGUCAAAUAGCAAGAUCCAAGAAAAGCAAAGUCUGGCCGGGCACUGUGGCUCACGCCCGUAAUCCCAACACUUUGGGAGGCCAAGGCAGGAGGACAGCUUGAGCCCGGAGUGCAACACCAGCUUGGG